rnacentral:misc_RNA from 1 species
AAGUCGUAACAAGGUUUCCGUAGGUGAACCUGCGGAAGGAUCAUUAUUGAAAUAAACCUGAUGGGUUGCUGCUGGUUCUCUAGGGAGCAUGUGCACACCUUGUCAUCUUUAUAUAUCUCCACCUGUGCACCUUUUGUAGACCUUUCAGGCCUAUGUUGCUUCAUUUACCCCAAUGUAUGUUAACAGAAUGUUGUGCCUAUAUAAUAUAUACAACUUUCAGCAACGGAUCUCUUGGCUCUC